UCUACUCUCCUGACAUCUCCUUCACCAGCUUCCUUUGUACAAGAUGUUCUAUUGUGUAAAUACCAUCAAAGAGCAUAUUGUACAAAGGGUGUUGUUGGCAUGGUAUUAGCAUUCCAAACUGA
rnacentral:precursor_RNA from 12 species